rnacentral:rRNA from 1 species
CGCGUAGGUGGGAUGGCAAGUCGGUCGUGAAAUCCUUCGGCUCAACCGAAGAACGUCGGCCGAUACUGCCGUUCUUGAGGGAUGCAGAGGAGACUGGAAUUCCCGGUGUAGCGGUGAAAUGUGUAGAGAUCGGGAGGAACACCGGUGGCGAAGGCGGGUCUCUGGGCAUCUCCUGACGCUGAGGCGCGAAAGCGUGGGGAGCAAACGGGAUUAGAUACCCCGGUAGUCCACGCCAUAAACGAUGACGACUAGGUGUGGGGUGGUUCAGUCCACUCCGUGCCGCAGCUAACGCAUUAAGUCGUCCGCCUGGGGAGUACGGCCGCAAGGUUGAA